rnacentral:rRNA from 1 species
UGCAAGUCGAACGGCAGCACGGGAGCAAUCCUGGUGGCGAGUGGCGAACGGGUGAGUAAUAUAUCGGAACGUGCCCAGUCGUGGGGAUACGUAGCGAAAGCUACGCUAAUACCGCAUACGAUCUAUGGAUGAAAGCGGGGGAUCGCAAGACCUCGCGCGAUUGGAGCGGCCGAUAUCAGAUUAGGUAGUUGGUGAGGUAAAGGCUCACCAAGCCGACGAUCUGUAGCUGGUCUGAGAGGACGACCAGCCACACUGGGACUGAGACACGGCCCCAGACUCCUACGGGAGGCAGCAGUGGGGAAUUUUGGACAAUGGGCGCAAGCCUGAUCCAGCAAUGCCGCGUGCAGGAUGAAGGCCUUCGGGUUGUAAACUGCUUUUGUACGGAACGAAACGGUGAGCUCUAAUACAGUUUGCUAAUGACGGUACCGUAAGAAUAAGCACCGGCUAACUACGUG